rnacentral:tRNA from 1 species
GGAGGGGUAGCGAAGUGGCCAAACGCGGCGGACUGUAAAUCCGCUCCCAUUCGGGUUCGGCAGUUCGAAUCUGCCCCCCUCCACCA